GUAACAUUUAAAUUCAUAGUGUAUACUACAACUGGGUUAGUUCCUUCUAGUUUCCAUUAAAGCAAUCAAUCUAGAAUUAAAAACUGGUUUUGGAUAAAUGUAAUGAAGAAAUAAACGUCAAGAACUUACAAAAUAAAACUUUCAUAAGACAGAUAAGAGAAAAUGGAGCAAGAGGUGAGGUCACCUGUCACUUCGGUUCUAUGGAAAGAGAACUCAUUACCUGCUCUCCCCAAACAUUAGGUAGCCUCCCAGAACAACACACACACACCCCUAUCUGCUACUGUCAAUUCAGUAGGGCGACCUACUAAGGUCUCUAAAAUGGGUUACAGUAUCAGACGAUAUACAACGCCACAAAGCAUCACAUAAAUGGGUAACUGUACAAAAAACAGUGCAUGUCAAAGUAAUAACUAGAUGAAUUUUUUCUUUCGGAAUGCAAGCCGUCUAAGCUGAUCUCCAAGAGCCUUUGCAAGUAAACCGCGGCACAAAAGUCCUUAAGCCUAAGCCUCACUUGCUGAAGCCCUCCACCGCGGGCGUUCCUACCAGGCGGUGACCAACUUUUGUGCUUCCCACAAUAGCGCUAAAGCGAUGCGGUGCAUCCCGCUGGUGAAACUCGGCAUGUGGCACUUAAAACGCCAAACCAGAAUCGCCCACAGCGCUGGCUGCAGGGCUCUCCCGGUUCCGCCGCGAUAACGCCGGGAGAUUAUCUGCAUUCAGCGCGAGGGCUUCAGGUCCAGGAAGAGAAGCGAAGCGAUAGCACGCGCACCCGGACCACGCUCAAGGCAAGGAAGCCCCAGCGCCCGGUGGGCCCAGGAAGCUGCCUAACCAGGGCAAAGCUCCGUGCCCUUUUCUAUGAAAGGGAGCGUGUGGCCGGCGGAACCAAAAGUAAACACGGAAAAUUCACUAGGAAUUUCCUGAUGGCCUACCGCGCACACGCAGGACACGAGUUAAGACGCUGGGAAAUGUUGAUGCCGGCAACCCCGUGGCGUGGUGUGUGCCUGCCCUGCAGCUGGACGGGAGGAAGCUCUGAAGCCCCUGGCUCUGAAAGAAUGGGGACUCCAGUAGGAAGGCAGGCGAGGAAUCAGGCCCAGAGAGUGCCUGCUAAAGCUCAAGGCCAGUACCGAGGACCAGGAAUGCAAGGACGUGCAAGGUGUGCACGAGGGCUGUGCUCACAGAGCCCAGGCUCCUCUGGAGAGGAGGGCACUUGUCCAGGAAGGGGAUGAUGAACAUGUGUGGACGAGAACUCUACAUACAUGCAAACAUGAAAAGAAUUCAUAAAAAAAGAAGAACCAGGAUAUAUCAUGUAUAGGUACCAAUUCCCUAUGAGGAAUGUGAUCAUUAUGUAUAUCUAAAUUGUACCAGUAAACUUAAAGAAAAAGGAAAUAAUUCACUUGCUUUUAAUUUUUUUUUUUUUUUUUUUUUUUUUUGGUCUUUUUGAGACAGGGUCUCAUUAUGCAGUUCAGGAUGGCCUUAAACUCACUUAUGGUCUGGGUGUGGUGGUGCAUGCCUGUGAUCCCAGCACUCGGGAGGCUGAG
rnacentral:lncRNA from 1 species